GACAGUUUGGCCGAGUGGUCUAAGGCGGUCUAAGGCGCCAGAUUUAGGCUCUGGUCCGGAAGGGCGUGGGUUCAAAUCCCUAGUUGUCA